AGUGAACGCUGGCGGUAGGCCUAACACAUGCAAGUCGAACGGCAGCACAGUAAGAGCUUGCUCUUACGGGUGGCGAGUGGCGGACGGGUGAGGAAUACAUCGGAAUCUACUUUUUCGUGGGGGAUAACGUAGGGAAACUUACGCUAAUACCGCAUACGACCUACGGGUGAAAGCAGGGGAUCUUCGGACCUUGCGCGAGUGAAUGAGCCGAUGUCGGAUUAGCUAGUUGGCGGGGUAAAGGCCCACCAAGGCGACGAUCCGUAGCUGGUCUGAGAGGAUGAUCGGCCACACUGGAACUGAGACACGGUCCAGACUCCUACGGGAGGCAGCAGUGGGGAAUAUUGGACAAUGGGCGCAAGCCUGAUCCAGCAAUACCGCGUGGGUGAAGAAGGCCUUCGGGUUGUAAAGCCCUUUUGUUGGGGAAGAAAAGCAGCAGGUGAAUACCCCGCUGUUAUGACGGUACCCAAAGAAUAAGCACCGGCUAACUUCGUG
rnacentral:rRNA from 1 species